rnacentral:lncRNA from 1 species
UGAUGCCAAAAACUAAAUAAUAGUAGCUAAUUAGAGGAUUGCCAGUGAUUCAUGUCAUCUUUUCACUGUACCUGAUAGCCAUAAUAUCACAUCUUAUUCUGCUGUCCCAGUUGUCUUCUUUAGCUUUUGAUGAUUUUACUCGAUUUCCUUGCCCCUUCCGAACCCAGAGUACUUGUCUGUUUCUAUACAAUGGUAGUGGCUGUCUAUUUAAUAUAUUUGGAGCUAGACUUUUGCAUCUUGCUGGUGCUGAUUUAAGUAGUGUCUUUAUUCCUUUAUUAUUUCCUGUUGUGAGGGUAUAAAGUGAUUCUUGCUUGGAUUGCAUUUGAUUUCGAGUGUCGGUGUCGUUAACUUAGAUGCUUAGUGACCGGAAAUA